rnacentral:misc_RNA from 1 species
AGGAACCGGCUAGUCUUCUAGCUGAGGAGAGAGACGAAGACCUUUUGUUUAAUUGAUGGACUAAACCUAUAGUAGUGAUUGGAUAGAAUAUUGGGUAUUUAUGGAAUAUCAUAGCUUCCAUGACACCAUUAAGUUAUAGAGUGUAUAAACAGACUCAUAUAAUAUUACAUGUACUAGUAUUCAAUUUUAAUCACAGUGGCUUGGUUUUUUUUUAAGGGGUACAAAUGCUGUUGUUUACAAUGUAAACAAAAGAAAGAGUUGACCAGUAUGUCAACAUUUGAAUUUUUACACUUUCAUUUCGUUGGAUAGCCAUUUCAGAAGUCCAAUAAAGGCUGGAAAGCAGAUGUAGGGAAAAAUAUCCAACACUUAUGUUUCAAUAUUUUCAAAGCUACAAUUGUAUACCAUAUACAGCAAUGUGUAAAUACAAAGUAUUCCCUGUUUAUGUUUUGUGAAUCUAGUCUCUGCAGCACCGCCGGUGUGGAUGUGUCGCAGUCAAGUCCUGUGAUGAAACGAACAGAGCACCCACUGCUGGUCCUUUGUGUGGUGCAUGUAGUGCAUUGUUCAGCAUGAUCCAAAUCAAUCCAUGUAGUAAAGAGGUUGACGAGUAUGUUGAUGGAAAAUGAUCGCUGUUAUAGGGUUGAAUUUCAUUUAAUAGUAUUAUAAUGGAAAUAGGUAUUCACUAAAUUGUAUGUAUUCGGGAAUUAUAAUUUAUAUGUAUAAAUUAUCAUGAUUGUUGAUAUAGUGAGAAAUGUACAUGUAUGUACAAUGUAAGAAUUAUCAGUUUAAAAAUGAAAACAAAAAGAAAUAAAGAUGACUC